rnacentral:rRNA from 1 species
CCUACGGGAGGCAGCAGUGAGGAAUAUUGGUCAAUGGCCGGAAGGCUGAACCAGCCAAGUCGCGUGAGGGAAGAAUGUGCCAAGGAUUGUAAACCUCUUUUGUCAGGGAACAAAAUCACGCACGAGAGGCUGAUGGAGGGUACCUGAAGAAAAAGCAUCGGCUAACUCCGUGCCAGCAGCCGCGGUAAUACGGAGGAUGCGAGCGUUAUCCGGAUUUAUUGGGUUUAAAGGGUGCGUAGGCGGGCUGUUAAGUCAGCGGUAAAAGCCCGGGGCUCAACCCCGUCCAGCCGUUGAAACUGGUGGUCUUUAGUGGGCGAGAGGUAUGCGGAAUGCGCAGUGUAGCGGUGAAAUGCAUAGAUAUUGCGCAGAACUCCGAUUGCGAAGGCAGCAUACCGGCGGCGAACUGACGCUGAGGCACGAAAGCGUGGGUAUCGAACAGGAUUAGAUACCCGGGUAGUC